AUUGAACGCUGGCGGCAUGCCUUACACAUGCAAGUCGAACGGCAGCACGGGAGCAAUCCUGGUGGCGAGUGGCGAACGGGUGAGUAAUAUAUCGGAACGUGCCCAGUCGUGGGGAUAACGUAGCGAAAGCUACGCUAAUACCGCAUACGAUCUAUGGAUGAAAGCGGGGGAUCGCAAGACCUCGCGCGAUUGGAGCGGCCGAUAUCAGAUUAGGUAGUUGGUGAGGUAAAGGCUCACCAAGCCGACGAUCUGUAGCUGGUCUGAGAGGACGACCAGCCACACUGGGACUGAGACACGGCCCAGACUCCUACGGGAGGCAGCAGUGGGGGAAUUUUUGGACAAUGGGCGGCAAGCCUCGAUCCAGCAAUGCCGCGUGCAGGAUGAAGG
rnacentral:rRNA from 1 species